rnacentral:miRNA from 1 species
CCAUGCAACCUGGCCUAGGCUCU